ACGUGCUGUGUGGCAUCACGAGCUAAUGAUGAUUAGCAAACAAUUUUUAAUGAAGAUAGUCUCUUUUCAUCCUUACCAUUGUCUCCUCUUAAUCUUUCCAUAAUGUUUAUUUUGCUUGAUCCAGGUUCCACUAUACUGUUAAUAUAAAUUAAUGUUUAUUCAAUAACAAACCUGUUUCGACAAUAAAAACAAGGAUGCUCAAUAUAGCAAAGAUAAUGUGAUCAGCCAAAGAACAUUUCAAUCCCCAUCUC